rnacentral:rRNA from 1 species
GUGUCAGCAGCCGCGGUAAGACGAACCAUGCAAACGUUAUUCGGAAUUACUGGGCUUAAAGCGUGCGUAGGCGGCUCAGAAAGUUGGGUGUGAAAUGCCUCGGCUCAACCGAGGAAUUGCGCCCAAAACUACUGGGCUUGAGGGAGUUAGAGGUGAGCGGAACUCACGGUGGAGCGGUGAAAUGCGUUGAUAUCGUGAGGAACACCGGAGGCGAAAGCGGCUCACUGGGGCUUAUCUGACGCUGAGGCACGAAAGCUAGGGGAGCAAACGGGAUUAGAAACCCGAGUAGUCC